GAUGAACGCUGGCGGCGUGCCUAACACAUGCAAGUCGAGCGAACUCUUCGGGGUGAGCGGCGGACGGGUGAGUAACGCGUGGGUAACCUGCCCUAUACACACGGAUAACGUACCGAAAGGUACGCUAAUACGGGAUAAAGUUGUUGGAUGGCAUCUUCUAACAAUCAAAGCUCCGGCGGUAUAGGAUGGACCCGCGUCUGAUUAGCUAGUUGGUGAGGUAAUGGCUCACCAAGGCGACGAUCAGUAGCCGACCUGAGAGGGUGAUCGGCCACACUGGAACUGAGACACGGUCCAGACUCCUACGGGAGGCAGCAGUGGGGAAUAUUGCACAAUGGGCGAAAGCCUGAUGCAGCAACGCCGCGUGAGCGAUGAAGGUCUUCGGAUCGUAAAGCUCUGUCCUCAAGGAAGAUAAUGACGGUACUUGAGGGGGAAGCCCCGGCUAACUACGUGCCAGCAGCCGCCGUAA
rnacentral:rRNA from 1 species